rnacentral:rRNA from 1 species
GUCUAUGGCCACGCCACCCUGAACACGCCUGAUCCCGUCUGAUCUCGGAAGCUAAGCAGGGUCGGGCCGGUCAGUCCUUGGAUGGGAAACCACCUAGGAAGACCUGGUGCUGUGGGCG